rnacentral:rRNA from 1 species
GACGAACGCUGGCGGCAUGCCUAAUACAUGCAAGUCGAGCGAACAGAUGAAGUGCUUGCACUUCUGACGUUAGCGGCGAACGGGUGAGUAACACGUAAGGAAUCUACCUAUAAGCGGGGGAUAACAUUCGGAAACGGGUGCUAAUACCGCAUAAUAUCUUCUUCCGCAUGGAAGAAGAUUGAAAGACGGCUCUGCUGUCACUUAUAGAUGACCUUGCGGUGCAUUAGUUAGUUGGUGGGGUAACGGCCUACCAAGACGAUGAUGCAUAGCCGACCGGCGAGGGUGAUCCGCCACAUUGGGACUGAGACACGGCCCAAACUCCUGCGGGAGGCAGCAGUAGGGAAUCUUACGCAAUGGGCGAAAGCCUGACGGAGCAAUGCCGCGUGAGUGAAGAAGGCCUUCGGGUCGUAAAACUCUGUUAUAAGAGAAGAACAAAUUGUAGAGUAACUGCUACAGUCUUGACGGUAUCUUAUCAGAAAGCCACGGCUAACUACGUGCCAGCAGCCGCCGUAA